rnacentral:ncRNA from 1 species
AAAGCUAUUGGGCUCAUAACUCAAAAAUGAGUAUAUAACUUCUUUUUAGAAAAAAAUUAGUUAAUAAUUUAAUUUAAUAUAAAAAAUUACACAAUUAAACUAUUAUAAUGGAAAUUAAAGCAAAUCAAAAAAUCCAGUAAAAAAUAUUAUAAAAUAAUGAAAAUUAAUUUUAAAUUCUAAUUAAUUUUUAGAUAAAUAAAGUGCCAGCAAUCGCGGUCAUACUUUAAUAAAAAUUUUAAAAUUAAAUUAAUAAUACUAUUUUUAUAUAAAAAAAAAAUAAAAAAGAUUUUUAAAGUAAAAUUCAAAAUUAUUUAUAAACUUAUUUUCUUAAAAAAAAAAUUAAAUUUAAUACUAAAACUAGGAUUAGAUACCCUACUAUUCUAAAUUAAAAAUAAAAUAUGGAGUAUUCCUAUAAAAAUUAUAUAAACUCUAAAAAUUAUGGCGGCUAAAAUAAAAAAACAGGGGAACUUACCACAUUAUAGACAAUCAUCUAGAAAUCUAAUAUUUUUAAAAAGUUUGUAUGCCGUCGUCAAAAAGUAAAAUUUAUUAUUUUAUUUAAAAAAUUAAAUUAUAAAAUUUAUAUGUCAGAUCAAGGUGCAACUAAUAAAAAUGAGGUAGGCGAGUUACAAUAGUAAAAAAACUUACCACAAAUUUAAAUGAAUAAUUUUAUAAAGGUUGGACUUGAAUGUAAUUAUUAAAUAAGUAUUAAAUAUUGAAUAACAUUUAUUUUAGUGCACAAAUCGCCCGUCACUCUCGUUGAAAAAUUUUUAUUAAAAAUUAUUAUUAAAAAGGAGAUAAGUCGUAACAAAGUAAGAAUAGUGGAAACUGUUCUUUUCUUAAU